AAGAUCGUCAAAAUUAAUCUCAUUUAUAUCUGAUCUGCUUUCAUUAACUACUGGUUUUUAUAGAGUGAGGUUGGAAUAUUUAUUUUUGCAAUGAAUAAGUUGCUUUUGGUUUUGUUAUUGGUAGGCUGCAUCACCAUGGCGAUGCUUCCUGACGUAGCAGAAGCCCAAUACCGACCUGGUGGUGGUGGACGUUGUAGCUGCAGAUAUAGUUGUUGGUAUGGAGAAUAUUCAAGAGGACACUGUGGGUACGGAAGACAGCUUUGUUGUAGAAGACGAUGGGGAGGAUGGGAUUAAAGUGGUUCAAUUUAUUCAUCAGAGUUACCAGAUAUUUUGUCUACAAGAAAUGAAGGAAAAGAAAAACAUAUUAAAACUGAUUCAUUUUGUGAUUUACUGAAUAAAAA